AGAGCGAACGCUGGCGGCAGGCCUAACACAUGCAAGUCGAGCGGCCGUAGCAAUACGGCAGCGGCAGACGGGAGAGUAACACGUGGGAACGCGCCCUUCGGUUCGGAAUAACUCAGGGAAACUUGGGCUAAUACCGGAUACGCCCUUACGGGGAAAGAUUUAUUGCCGAAGGAACGGCCCGCGUCCGAUUAGCUUGUUGGUGAGGUAACGGCUCACCAAGGCGACGAUCGGUAGCUGGUCUGAGAGGAUGACCAGCCUCACUGGGACUGAGACACGGCCCAGACUCCUACGGGAGGCAGCAGUGGGGAAUAUUGGACAAUGGGCGCAAGCCUGAUCCAGCCAUGCCGCGUGGGUGAUGAAGGCCCUAGGGUUGUAAAGCCCUUUCGGCGGGAAGAUAAUGACGGUACCCGCAGAAGAACGCCCCGGCUAACUUCGCGCCAGCAGCCGC
rnacentral:rRNA from 1 species